GGCCCUCUGGUAUAUAAUCCAGGGGCGGACUCGUGUUCAUCCUCUGGUUGAUGGCGCGCGGUCCUGGCUGGUUGGACGGAGACGCGAAGUUAAAUUACACUUCAAAUUCUUGCUUGGAAAGAACGGAAGGAGAGCCGAGGAUGUAUUUCCUUGGUGGAUCUGCUGAGUUGAAUCUGCAGAGGAAGACCCGGAGAUCCAGGUGUAGAGAUGGAUGAAAUCACACUGAAAUGGACACAGUGGUCACCUGAGGCUCCUCAGCUCUGAGGGAGCGGUUUGAUUCGCCUGAUUAGUCCUGGAGUCCUGCUGCGAGUGAAGUCUACAGCCAUGAGCUGAUGGCAUCCACACUAGGGGGGAUGGGAUGGGAUGGAGCCUGCUCUUCUAGCUUGUCCACACACUGACAGAGAGGAGUUGAUGUGACAGACCUGCAGCUGUAUGACUGGCAGCCCAGGCUGGAAGACAUUCAGAACACAGUAAAUGGACCAGGUGCUGCCACUUGUGAGCUGGGACUGCUCCAAGCUUCUACGGUGGACAAUAUCAAGUCAUCCAGGAAAUGGAAGCAUUCCUAAGUCAUAAGAUACAUUGCCACCAUUCAUUUGAAGGGGCCUUGAACUUCUUAGUCUUGUUUAUACAAAGCUUUUCUCCAGUGUUUAUAAUGGUUUGAAUGUACAGAUGUAAGGAAAUGUCAAAUAAAUGGCUGACACAGA